rnacentral:rRNA from 1 species
AUUGAACGCUGGCGGCAUGCCUAACACAUGCAAGUCGAACGGCAGCGCGGGCUUCGGCCUGGCGGCGAGUGGCGGACGGGUGAGUAAUGCCUCGGAACGUGCCCAGUAGUGGGGGAUAGCGUGCCGAAACGCGCGCUAAUACCGCAUACGACCUGAGGGUGAAAGCGGGGGAUCGACAGACCUCGCGCUAUUGGAUGGGCCGAGGUCGGAUUAGCUAGUUGGUGGGGUAAAGGCCUACCAAGGCGACGAUCCGUAACUGGUCUGAGAGGAUGAUCAGCCACACUGGGACUGAGACACGGUCCAGACUCCUACGGGAGGCAGCAGUGGGGAAUUUUGGACAAUGGGGGCAAGCCUGAUCCAGCCAUGCCGCGUGCGGGAAGAAGGUCUUCGGGUUGUAAAGCGCUUUUAUUUGGGAAGAAGGGCUGUAGGUUAAUACCCUGGGGUUUUGACGGUACCGGAAGAAUAAGCACCGGCUAACUUCGUG